CAGCCAGAGAGACAGGACGUCGUCAGACAGAGAGACAGGACGUCGUCAGACAGAGAGACAGGACGUCGUCAGCCAGAGAGACAGGACGUCGUCAGACAGAGAGACAGGACGUCGUCAGACAGAGAGACAGGACGUCGUCAGACAGAGACACAGGACGUCGUCAGACAGAGACAUGCUGUGCAUUAGAGGGGUAACAGUAGUCAUGUAGGGAAGCCCUUUAAAAAUAUAAAUGAGUGUUUCUGCAUUAGAACUGUAACGGUUUACCUAAAGGGUAUUUCUCUGCUAAUCAUUCACAGAGGUUGUGAUGUUGGAAAGGGCCCCUCUUACCUAAAGAGUAUUUCUCUGCUAAUCAUUCACGGAGGUUGUGAUGUUGGAAAGGGCCCCUCUUACCUAAAGGGUAUUUCUCUGCUAAUCAUUCACAGAGGUUGUGAUGUUGGAAAGGGCCCCUCUUACCUAAAGGGUAUUUCUCUGCUAAUCAUUCACAGAGGUUGUGAUGUUGGAAAGGGCCCCUCUUACCUAAAGAGUAUUUCUCUGCUAAUCAUUCACGGAGGUUGUGAUGUUGGAAAGGGCCCCUCUUACCUAAAGGGUAUUUCUCUGCUAAUCAUUCACGGAGGUUGUGAUAUUGGAAAGGGCCCCUCUUACCUAAAGGGUAUUUCUCUGCUAAUCAUUCACAGAGGUUGUGAUGUUGGAAAGGGCCCCUCUUACCUAAAGGGUAUUUCUCUGCUAAUCAUUCACAGAGGUUGUGAUGUUGGAAAGGGCCCCUCUUACCUAAAGGGUAUUUCUCUGCUAAUCAUUCACAGAGGUUGUGAUGUUGGAAAGGGCCC